AUUGAACGCUGGCGGCAUGCUUUACACAUGCAAGUCGAACGGCAGCGGGGAGGAGCUUGCUUCUCUGCCGGCGAGUGGCGAACGGGUGAGUAAUACAUCGGAACGUGUCGAGAAGAGGGGGAUAACCACCCGAAAGGGUGGCUAAUACCGCAUAAAUUCUGAGGAAGAAAGCUGGGGACCUAGGAAUAGGCCUAGCGCUUUUUGAGCGGCCGAUGUCGGAUUAGCUAGUUGGUGAGGUAAAGGCUCACCAAGGCGAAGAUCUGUAGCGGGUCUGAGAGGAUGAUCCGCCACACUGGGACUGAGACACGGCCCAGACUCCUACGGGAGGCAGCAGUAGGGAAUUUUGGACAAUGGGGGCAACCCUGAUCCAGCCAUGCCGCGUGUAUGAAGAAGGCCUUAGGGUUGUAAAGUACUUUUGUUAGGGAAGAAAAGUCAGCUGUGAAUAAUGGCUGAUACUGACGGUACCUAAAGAAUAAGCACCGGCUAACUACGUG
rnacentral:rRNA from 1 species